CAGCCCAUUUCAGAAGCUAUUUAAGCCGUUUAAGAGCUCUGUCAUUUUUUAUGCAAAUGAGCUGUGGCUGGUCAUGGCCCAUGUUUACGCUAAGAGUUUACCACAUGUUAGUGUUAGCUUGUGCUGACUGGCAAAACAUGAACAACAUGAAUCUCCUUCAUCUGUCGACUUGCAACAAACAGUAGGUAUAGAUCCCUCCCUCAAAAGAAGUCUGCUGGCUUAUCCUGCUGUACACUCACUGAGGUUCUCAACCUUAAAUAGCUACCUAGCUAUUAUUUAGCCUUUAUAUACAGAGUACAACCCAGAUGGAGCCCUGAUCCCAUCAUUGACAUCCAUAUUUAGCCAACAUUGAACCCCUUUACAAACGUUUCUACACUAUUCUCAGUUGUGAAACAUCUACAGGCCCCACAUGGGCAUGUUAUCUGUGCAGCACCCAGCUCACAACACAUUACUCUGCUUCCAGCAAACAGUAGGAGGCAGAAAAGCAAACACAGCAAGCAAAUUGAUGGUUACAAAAAUCUCCCAGAGACUGUUAACCUUCUCAGACUGUCUCUUUCUAAACAGAAUACUCAAAAUACAGUCUUUAUUCUCCAGCGGCGAAUCAAACCACCGCCUGAGUCAGACUGACUUACUUAUUAUAGCAGUUUCUGAAGAUAAGAUCAAAGCUGAUGGGAGUUUGUGUUUGUGAACUCUGCAUGAUUUUACUGUUUAUGUGUAGGAUGUGGUGCUGACGUUGGAAGGCUGUGUGUUUGGUGGAUGGUGUGGUAUCGUGGUUGGUAGGGCUGUACUAUAAAUGGUAUUUGUAUUAUCAUUGCAAUAUGAGUUUUACUUAUAGCAUAGUCGGGUUGCUUUAGACUGCAUCAUGUGAAAUGAUCAGGCUGUAGGCAGAGUGAGGUAGAGUGAGGUAAAGCAAGUAGAGCAAGGUUAAAGGUAAAGUGAAGGUAGAGUGAGAUACAGUGUGAUAGAGUAGGGUAGAGUGAGGUAAAACAAGGCCAUCGUGAGGUUGAGUGAGGGUAGAGUGAGAUAAAGAGGGGGGUUGAGUGUUGAAGAGCGAGAGUAAAGUGUGGUAGAGAGAAGUAGAGUGAGGUGAAGUUUGGUAGAGAGGUGUAGAACAAGGUAGAGUGAGGUAAAGUUUGGUAGAGAGAAGUAGAGAGAGGUAAAGUUCGGUAGGAGAAGUAGAGUGAGGUAGAGAGAGGGUAGAGUGUUGAAGAGCGAGAGUAAAGUGUGGUAGAGAGAAGUAGAGUGAGGUGAAGUUUGGUAGAGAGGUGUAGAACAAGGUAGAGUGAGGUAAAGUUUGGUAGAGAGAAGUAGAAUGAGGUAAAGUUUGGUAGAGAGGUGUAGAACGAGGUAGAGUGAGGUAAAGUGUGGUAGAGAGAAGUAGAGUGAGGUGAAGUUUGGUAGAGAGAAGUAGAAUGAGGUAGUGAGGUAAAGUGUGGUAGAGAGAAGUAGAGUGAGGUGAAGUUUGGUAGAGAGAAGUAGAAUGAGGUAGUGAGGUAAAGUGUGGUAGAGAGAAGUAGAGUGAGGUGAAGUUUGGUAGAGAGAAGUAGAAUGAGGUAGUGAGGUAAAGUGUGGUAGAGAGAAGUAGAGUGAGGUGAAGUUUGGUAGAGAGAAGUAGAAUGAGGUAGUGAGGUAAAGUGUGGUAGAGAGAAGUAGAGUAAGGUGAAGUUUGGUAGAAAGGUGUAGAAUGAGGUAGAGUGAGGUAAAGUGUGAAAGAGAGAAGUAGAGUGAGGUGAAGUUUGGUAGAGAGAAGUAGAACGAGGUAGAGUGAGGUGAAGUUUGGCAGAGAGAAGUAGAGUGAGGUAAAGUUUGGUAGAGAGAAGUAGAACGAGGUAGAGUGAGGUAAAAUGUGGUAGAGAGAAGUAGAGUGAGGUAAGGUUUGGUAGAAAGGUGUAGAACGAGGUAGAGUGAGGUAAAGUGUGAAAGAGAGAAGUAGAGUGAGGUGAAGUUUGGUAGAGAGAAGUAGAAUGAGG